rnacentral:misc_RNA from 1 species
AAGUCGUAACAAGGUAACCGUAGGUGAACCUGCGGUUGGAUCAUUACCAAAUCCAAACCUGGUGCAGAGGGUCAGUCUGCCUCCCGUAAAAAGGGGGCGGGCCCCCUCGGCGCCUUCCACCCCCUGUGCAAUGUUUUAAUGGGAGACCGGCGUAUCCGUGUGCUUGCAUGCGGGUGCGUCCCUUCCAUUUCACAACCAUGUGUUUUCCAAUCACCUGACGUUACCACUCGUGGCGACAAGAGGGAGGGGCGCGGGCAACCGCCCCCCACACUUCGGACUCUCCAUUAGAGCUUUAACGAAAAAACAACUUUUGACAACGGAUCUCUUGGCUCUC